AUCCACUGCUGCCUUCUUCCCUAUACUACUACUCUUUGUCUUUUGAUCAACCCGGUGCUGCGACCCAGCUUCCCUUCCUAAGAUCAAUUUGCAGAGCCCGGCAGUACUCUCCGCUCCCUUAGCAGACCUCCUGCAGUAUCCAAUAUAAUAAGUGCAGUGAUGGUUAUUUAUAAUGUAAUGGACAAUAUAGGUGUUGCAAGUACGAAUCCAAAAGGUAGAGAGAAUAAAUUCUUUUGCACAUGAGAAUGCAAGCAGCAAAAAUAUGCAGAUAGGUUCUUUUGAGGAAAAUCAUUAUAAACCCUUGCUUUUUUUCCCACUGCAACUAUUUCAAUAUGGAUCAAACGAAUGUAUGUUUUCUUACCAAAAAUAUAUAUGGGUAUUAACGUCUAUUUAAGUUGUACAUCAGUUUUCUUGGCUCAUUAUUUUACUAUUUGUUUAUAAGAAUAUAUAUUUCAUUUCAGUCA